rnacentral:rRNA from 1 species
GAUGAACGCUGACGGCGUGCCUAAUACAUGCAAGUCGAGCGAACAGACGAGGAGCUUGCUCCUCUGACGUUAGCGGCGGACGGGUGAGUAACACGUGGAUAACCUACCUAUAAGACUGGGAUAACUUCGGGAAACCGGAGCUAAUACCGGAUAAUAUAUUGAACCGCAUGGUUCAAUAGUGAAAGACGGUUUUGCUGUCACUUAUAGAUGGAUCCGCGCCGCAUUAGCUAGUUGGUAAGGUAACGGCUUACCAAGGCAACGAUGCGUAGCCGACCUGAGAGGGUGAUCGGCCACACUGGAACUGAGACACGGUCCAGACUCCUACGGGAGGCAGCAGUAGGGAAUCUUCCGCAAUGGGCGAAAGCCUGACGGGGCAACGCCGCGUGAGUGAUGAAGGUCUUCGGAUCGUAAAACUCUGUUAUUAGGGAAGAACAAAUGUGUAAGUAACUAUGCACGUCUUGACGGUACCUAAUCAGAAAGCCACGGCUAACUACGUG